rnacentral:rRNA from 1 species
UACGGAGGGUGCAAGCGUUAUCCGGAUUCACUGGGUUUAAAGGGUGCGUAGGCGGCCCCUGUAAGUCAGUGCUGAAAUACCCCGGCUUAACCGGGGGGGGUGGCAUUGAUACUGCAGGGCUUGAGUACAGAUGAGGUAGGCGGAAUUGACGGUGUAGCGGUGAAAUGCAUAGAUAUCGUCAAGAACACCGAUAGCGAAGGCAGCUUACUGGGCUGUAACUGACGCUGAUGCACGAAAGUGUGGGGAUCAAACAGG